UACGUAGGGUGCGAGCGUUGUCCGGAUUUAUUGGGCGUAAAGGGCUCGUAGGCGGCGUGUCGCGUCGGGAGUGAAAGCCCGCUGCUUAACGGCGGGUUGGCUUCCGGUACGGGCAUCGCUGGAGUGCGGCAGGGGAGACUGGAAUUCCUGGUGUAGCGGUGGAAUGCGCAGAUAUCAGGAAGAACACCCGUGGCGAAGGCGGCUCUCUGGGACGGUACUGACGCUGAGACGCGAAAGCGUGGGGAGCGAACAGG
rnacentral:rRNA from 1 species